rnacentral:rRNA from 1 species
AAGCGGAGGAAAAAAAACCAACCGGGAUUGCCUUAGUAACGGCGAGUGAWGCGGCAAAAGCUCAAAUUUGAAAUCUGGUACCUUCGGUGCCCGAGUUGUAAUUUGGAGAGGGCAACUUUGGGGCCGUUCCUUGUCUAUGUUCCUUGGAACAGGACGUCAUAGAGGGUGAGAAUCCCGUGUGGCGAGGAGUGCGGUUCUUUGUAAAGUGCCUUCGAAGAGUCGAGUUGUUUGGGAAUGCAGCUCUAAGUGGGUGGUAAAUUCCAUCUAAAGCUAAAUAUUGGCGAGAGACCGAUAGCGAACAAGUACAGUGAUGGAAAGAUGAAAAGAACUUUGAAAAGAGAGUGAAAAAGUACGUGAAAUUGUUGAAAGGGAAGGGCAUUUGAUCAGACAUGGUGUUUUGUGCCCUCUGCUCCUUGUGGGUAGGGGAAUCUCGCAUUUCACUGGGCCAGCAUCAGUUUUGGUGGCAGGAUAAAUCCAUAGGAAUGUAGCUUGCCUCGGUAAGUAUUAUAGCCUGUGGGAAUACUGCCAGCUGGGACUGAGGACUGCGACGUAAGUCAAGGAUGCUGGCAUAAUGGUUAUAUGCCGCUCGUCUUG